UGAACACUCCCUGUUCACUGAACUCAGCCCUUUAUCCUUCAAUUAGACGGGAGUAUGGAAUCAGGGAAGAGCUUCUCUCUGUCUUGGCCAGAAGAUGGCGCGGGGGCUCCAAGUGCUGCUCCCAGCGGCGUUAGAAGAAAAUCCUGUGGGAGAGAAAUGGAUGGGUGCGUUCCAGGACAGACAUGCGAGAUGGCGGAGACCCCGACAGCAAGUCCCCGAAAAUUCAGGAGCCUGAGGGCAGGUCAGGUGUGUCCGCUUCCCCCACAGCCCCUGGAGGGGGACUUGCA